GACGAACGCUGGCGGCGUGCUUAACACAUGCAAGUCGAACGGAAAGGCGCGGCGUUUGUGGGGUGCUCGAGUGGCGAACGGGUGAGUAACACGUGAGUAACCUGCCCUUGACUUUGGGAUAACUUCAGGAAAAUGGGGCUAUUACCGGAGAGGAGCUCCUGCUGCAUGGGGGGGGUUGGAAAGUUUCGGCGGUUGGGGAUGGUCUCGCGGCUUAUCAGCUGGUUGGUGGGGUAGUGGCGUACCAGGGCUUUGACGGGUAGGCGGCCUGAGAGCGUGACCGGCCACAUUGCGCCUGCGAUACGGCCCAGUCUCCUACGGGAGGCAGCAGUGGGGAAUAUUGCACAGUGGGCGGACGCCUGAUGCAGCAACGCCGCGUUCGGGAUGCCGGCCUUCUGGUUGUAAACCGCUUUCGCCUGUGCCGAAGCGUGAGUGACGGUAAUGGGUAAAGAAGCACCGGCUAACUACGUG
rnacentral:rRNA from 1 species